UGCCCUACAGUUCCCCGCCCGGGAACAAGGAGCUGGUAUCAGGCACACCCUAUUAAGCCCAUGACGCCUUGCUUAGCCACACCCUCAAGGGAACUCAGCAGUGAUAAACAUUAAGCCAUAAGUGAAAACUUGACUUAGUUAAAGCUAAGAGGGCCGGUAAAACUCGUGCCAGCCACCGCGGUUAUACGAGAGGCCCAAGUUGAUAGCCACCGGCGUAAAGCGUGGUUAAGUUAAAACUAAAACUAAAGCCGAACAUCUUCAAGGCUGUUAUACGCACCCGAAGACAAGAAGUUCAUCCACGAAAGUGGCUUUAUUUAAUCUGACCCCACGAAAGCUAUGGUACAAACUGGGAUUAGAUACCCCACUAUGCCUAGCCCUAAACAUUGAUAGUAAACUACACCCACUAUCCGCCCGGGUACUACGAGCCUCAGCUUAAAACCCAAAGGACUUGGCGGUGCUUUAGAUCCACCUAGAGGAGCCUGUUCUAGAACCGAUAACCCCCGUUCAACCUCACCUUUCCUUGUUUUUCCCGCCUAUAUACCGCCGUCGUCAGCUUACCCUGUGAAGGAUUAAUAGUAAGCAAAACUGGCACAGCCUAAAACGUCAGGUCGAGGUGUAGCGCAUGGGAAGGGAAGAAAUGGGCUACAUUCGCUAUCACAGCGAAUACGGAUGAUGUACUGAAACGUACAUCUGAAGGAGGAUUUAGCAGUAAGCAG
rnacentral:rRNA from 1 species